UGAACAUGGCAUAUGGCAUACGAACACCCUGAGAGUAGGAUCGUGGGGCAUCCGAUGGUGAUUGUCCUUAGAGUUGGUGGGGGCCCAGCUUCCCGCUGUCUGUGAACUGCUGCGUGCAGAAUCGGUGUCUUCUUUAACUUCACAACGAUGCCACAAGGCAAAUAGCAUUGUCUUCACUUUCUGUGUAAGAAAACUAAGGCUGGGUGAGAGUAUGCAGAGCUGGAUCAUGGAUUUGUUUGGCUCCUUCUAGUUUGAAAACCUAAGUUAAAAGCUGAGAUCGUGAGGAUUUCCAGGGACUCCUGCCACCAGCUCAUCUCACAUCAUCAUUUACAUGGAAAUGUUGGGACUGAGGUGACCUCAUGCCUCUCAAUUCCCAGCCAGCCUUCUCUCCCUCUGGCUCCUAGCCAGCCUGUUAAACAGAAAAAAUAAGUGAGACAAAUAAAAAACACCCUAGUGUUCUAA